CAAAAAUAUGCCGCUAUAUAAAAGCACCAGAAAUGUUUAAAAAAAAUCAACUGGCCAAAGCUGAGAAAUAUUUAAUAAACACAAUAUUAAAACAAAAUAAACACACAUCAGGAUGUUGAGGAUGUAGUAAUUUCACUGUAGUUAGCACAUGCAAAGUAAAUGAUGGUGCGAAGGGUUAUUUAGAGACACUUUCUGUGACAAGAAGGGGUUACUGUUCCUUUAUAUAACUAAAUAUGGUUACUCUGAAAUUGUUAGCAUCGUAUCUAGCCUACAGAAAGCAUUCUCGUUAAGCCCCGUGCCGAAACGGUCUAGCAACGAGUGUCGUUCUAAGCUACUUCUCUAUUAGCCAAGGAAUCUGUCAACGAGCAUUUGAUCAAAUUAUACUCACCUUUUAUCCCUGGCAUGUCAUUAUUUAUGUACCAGUGACAAAGGGUCCCCCCGCCCUGCCUUUUCAUGCUGCCUGGAGAUAAAAAUCACUGCCUAACAUAGUUUCCUCAUGCACACUAUGGCUACUUGAGUUCUGAGAAAAAUGAACAAAGUGUUCUGCCGAGCUGUAAAUGCAGCCAUGUCAGAAUAAUAGCGGCUGCUGAGCACUUCCACAGCUGAGUGUAAUUACUAUGGUGUCGAAUGGAAACCGUCCAUCUUAAACGUGGCUUUGAUGUGAGGAGGGAGCUGUUCCUAGUGCACACAUAUAAGCGCUUGACAAAUAAAGAUAAAAAGCAGCCGCCUAAUGGAUUUGAGGACAUGAAUCUGCAAACAAAAGCUUGUACCUGCUUUGAAAGUAGCAGAGUUAACUCCCGGCAAAAUAAUUUGCAAUGGAAAUGAGAUAACUUCGCAUGGAGCAGGGAGGAAGCUAAAAAGAACUUCAAGUCUUUCACCCCAAAUUAGAAUCUUCACAUUUGUUUGCCUGAGCUCAUAUAUUCUAUCAAGGCAAAAACCAGAUAAAUAAAAAGUACCACUAUAACUACAAAAACGUGCAAGUGAUCUAUCAGAUAGCCAUAUAUGAGUGGUGAAAAGAAAUCACUAAAAGUAAGUGAAAGGACUAAGUUAGAAAUCUGCUUAGCUCUCUGGAGCAGGGAUUGUGUCUUUCCAUGUAUCUGUCUGCUUAGCAAAAUGGAGAUAUUCAGCUGGGCAUGAACAUUAAGCAAAUAAUAAGUAACAGUGUUAACAUUGUAAUCUCAGGAAAGCAGUGGCAUUUGUUAUAGCGCGGAUAUUACAUGAUCAGGAAGGAGUAUCGGUCCUUAAUGUGCUACCAGCUAAAAUAUAUGGUGAUCUUGCAUAAAUUAUGAUAAUUCACAAUGCAGUCUAAAUUGCUAACUUGUGGUACCCUGAAUGAGCUCACCAGCUGCACCAUGGGAACCCAGCUAAUUUGGCAUGGUAUGUUGAAUAGUGCCCAAAGCACUGCGUAAGUCAACCUUUAACUCUUAAGAUCACAAAAUGUGAAAAAUUAAAAUCCAAAGCAAGCCAAAAGCGGCAAGGGGCAAGAGACGCAAGCCACAAAUACCUAAAAGCAGGAAGGAGAUGACAAGAAUGUAUCAGGUGCGUCUAAUUCUGAGAGCCGGUCCUAUUCUUCUACAUGGAGCCAUGUGGCUGCUGGCUACAGAAGUUUGGCAUUUGACUGCAGUUAGUGUCUCAAGUCAAAAUAAGCUGUGCUAUAUAUUUAAAUAAGUGGUAUGACUGUUGGCAGCAAAAGGAGCAAACGUAUCAAAGUGUCAGAGAACAGCCAUUAAUUGGGAGGCAAAGUAAGUAAUGAGAAACAAUCUAGUCAGCUACAAGAGAAUGCAUCACCUAGCCAGAUGGUACAUGGAAUUGGUGUAAAGUAAGUAUAUUCUGGGAACUAUAUACGCUUACAAAAAAUGGCCUAUAAACACAGCAGGUAAAAACAUGAAUUCCAUGUGCUUAAAACAAGCAUCUUGUGACAAACACACAAGUAACAGAAGGCCAACGGUUGGUUUAUGCUUGCAAGGCUAUCAUCACACCUAAUGACAGAAAUAUAUUUAAAUCAAAGCUUGUAUUAAAUACCGAUAAAACUUGCCUGGGAAAGUUUCCUUUUUACCUCUACCAAGGAGGAACGUUCAAGCCCUGAGGCAGGAGUUCAUAACUAUGCUGUAUAAAAAAACUCCUCAGACGUUCAGUUCUACAGGACACUGUUGAUUAGCAUGUUAGAGACUUUGAGGCAAUGAAACAAUUAGGAAAACAGUUCAAAUAUUUCAGAGCAGAAAUGUUGGCUUCUAGAGCUUUUUCCUCAGGAAAAAGAAAUGAGUUAGGUGAAUUAAAUAGUUCUGCUUUCUACUACUGAAGAUAAUAAAUGCGAUCCAGGCAAACAUUUUACAUUGCAAAACCUGUUUCCCAAACAACUUGGGAGACAGUGACCAGUUAGAACUCUGUAUACAAACGACAUUUCUCUACAGCUUGUUCACUAAAUACGAGAGAACAACUCACCAUAAGGGGACAACGAAGCACAAUGCAUGAGACCUAUAGUCGGUGUGUUUCUAGGCAAAGUAAGCCUUCCCUUCACCAGUCCCGUUGCUCAACCAGGCCCAGCCUGUUACCCUUGCCAGUUCCUCUCCCCCAGAUUCUCCACCUUUCCCUCUCUACUCUUUUCUCUUCCCCUAGUCUGGCUUUUGUCCCCCUCCCCUCCGUCCAAAUCAAGUGGCUUCCCCCUGCACGCUGCCCGAGUGCCAGCAGGGGGAGUCUUGCGACCACAGGAGAAACUAGCUCCUCGCUCUUCUGGUACUUGUCCCUUGGCUAGACCCACUAAAUCGACCCCUGGGAGAUCGAUCUUUGCGGCGUCAGUCUCCUGGUAAGCGUAGACAAGGCCUGAGAGCUGCGAUUACAGGGAGGGCAGACUGCUUGGAGAUUGAGCUGCUAAAAUCGAAGAAGUUGCUAUGGAGCCUCUUCAAACUGCAAUUUUCAAAGGCUUAUAAUUGGCCAAAUUUGGGGAGGUUUUCAAGGAGAUAGCCAAAUGUCUGUAUCUCUGUCCACCCUCUGCCAGAUUCCAAGUCCCUAAUUCAAAGUGCGGGGCAUGAGACCUGUUCAAAAAGAAGGUCACCCUUUUUAAAAAAACAAAACUAUAUUGUUGUCCUUGUUUUAUUCAUAUAAAUGUCUGGACCAUGUUGGCUAAAAAUUACAUAGAUUGCCAAGGCAGGCACCAGUCACAUAAAGCUUCAAACCAAAUGGCUAAGAUUUAGCAAAAUUAUAAGCAAUUGAAACGAGGGGCUAAUAAUAGGAAGUCACAGGCUACUUUUACAACAAGCAGGACCUACCAGCCCUACCUGCAAAACAGAUAUAUGAAUUGAACACUCAGAUUUUACCACAGUGUGAUAUAAGACAAAAAUGACACAAAAGAUCCUCUUCUCAAAAGCUGUAAACCAAAGAAAGCUUGAUGAAAUUUCCCUCUGUAACUACUAAUGUCAUUUGGGUAUUAAAAUGCAGCCUAACGAGCGUGGCGUAAAGCACUGAUACAGCUUAUAUAUGAUGAUUUAUUUUGGUCAGGUCAGCCUUUUCCUGCCCACAUCAAAAAACUGGCAACAAACAGCAUAUAGGAAGCAUUACACAAAUUCUCUCUCUGUCUCUCACCACAGGGUUUAAGUCUCCUAAGCAAUGAAACUCUUCUAUGAUAGGAUAAUUUUUUAGCAAGGUGUAGUUAUCAUACCGAAAGUCAUUAAAAUAUGUUCUUUCUAGCUUCAUUCCUCGAGCCUCCCCUGCAUUGGUGAACUGUAGAAUAACUUGAAUUCAGGUAGUCGAAAAGCCCCAUUUUUCUCACAGGCUUAUGACAUUUAGUACCACUAUCAGCCUCUCUCAAGGGUGCUAGAGUCACUGAACUUUUUCUUAAUGUGAAUUUAGUGGCUCAUGAAAGGUUCUGGAGUGACAAGCUUAGAGACUAAGGCCCUCUAUUUAACCACCGAAAAGUCACAAUACAGAGAACACACACGAGCACUUUCACAACCAGUGUCCCCACCCGUAGCAGAGCACUGCGCAUUUGCAGAGAGGGCACUUCAGUUUGCUGCCCAUUUAAUCACGUGUCUCCUCAUUGGGGCUACAACCGUGAGUGCCACUUGUAAUGGUAAUUUAGCAAGUGCAGACACCUGUUCACUAGCAAGGGGAGAGAGAUCAAUGGCUUAUUUCAAAGAAAGCCUCAAAUCGCUGUCAGAUGUCAACUAUUUGAAUUCGCUCUCCUGUAUGAAAGAAGGGAGAGAAAUUUCAAAUUGCUUGGCAGGUUGUUUGUCAUUGUUGAUUUGGAGCUCAGAUGCUCCAAAGAAGAGUGGUUAUAAGUAACUAGAUUAGAAAUCUUAAAGUUACAGAUAAUGGCAUUAAAGGGUCUUUUUUUCUUGCGGAACAGCUCACUCUUUAUAAGUGGCAUAAGCUGUCUGCAAUUUUCUAGCUUUAACUAAUACUUUUUUUUUCAUUUUCAAUAAGUUCUUUCUAAUCUUCACACAUCUUAGAAAACCGCACUUUGCAAAUGAAAGGGGGACUGAAAACCAGUUUAGCAAAGCUCACAAAAUGGCAACUAAGCCAAUAAAUGCAUUGAUAUUCUCUCCUCCCCACCCCAACACAAAUCGGCACUUCCUGGAAACAUCCUCUAAAUCAGUGGUGGGCAACCUGUGGCCCACUGGGGUUCCACC